UUCCGAAAUCAAUUCUUUUUGGCGAAGACGACGACGAUCUGAUCUAAUCGAAUCCGAUUGGCGAAUUUAAGAAAAACAAGAUCUUGAGGCGAAAUUGUAAGCAGACAUGGCGGAAGAGCACAGAUGCGAAGCCCCAGAAGGCCACCACCUCUGCGCAAACAACUGCGGAUUCUUCGGCAGCCCGGCCACCAUGAACCUCUGCUCCAAAUGCUACAGAGACUUCUGCCUCAAGGAGCAGCAGCAGGCGUCGAUCAAAUCCACCGUCGAAGCCUCCCUCUCCGCCUCCGCUGCCGAUGCCGCUUCUUCCUCUCUCUCCGCUCCUUCUUCCCCUCCUUCAACAUCCUUGCCUGCCUCUCCGGCAGCGAUCGAGACUCUCUGCCAACCUCCGCCCCCGGCCUUGACUUUGCCGGAGGUAGCCGGAGAUAUAAUCGGUGAGCCCGCUGAAGUUGUUCGGGCUCCUGAGGUGGCUACGGUGGUGUCGCAGCCGAACCGGUGCACCGUUUGCAGGAAACGGGUCGGGUUGACCGGGUUC
rnacentral:lncRNA from 1 species